UUAGGAAAGCCAUAGAUCCCAGUAGGACUAAGGCUGGCCAUCCCUGUUCCAUUCCAUAUCAGGCUGUCUUCUCCUAGCCUUCCAGCUCCUUAAAUCUGGCCCCCGCCCUCCCAAGCUCCCAAUAAGGCCUUUUGUGGGGAAGCCUGUGGAGUGUUUAUUGGAGCUAAAGCCAGGCCAUUAUUAGCACUGCCUAAGCCUGUCCGUCACCUCAGCAGGGUGAAGGGCCAAUUAUAACAAAAGUAGGUAAGGAGCUUGCCUCCUCUCUAAUAAGGGAAGGAGUGAAACCACUACUUCUGAAGGGACGGAGAUACAAAAUUCCAUGUUGUGGGAAUGUCCUUCCAAGUCUUAAACAGCUUUUAGGGCAGGUGAGAGCCUCUGCUCCUAUACCAGCACAUAGUCUCGACAGUUGUGCUGCUGUUCGUGUUUUGUGGGGAGGCGCAGUGUCUGUAGGCCGUGUGGCUUGCAGAGUGUCUUUCGGCCCAGGUAAACGCCGCUGUGAAGGACUCCAGGAAAGCUGUUCCCAUCACAAUCCCCCUGCCUGACAGCCACAGGAGUCCAUGGAUACAGCCCAGGGAAGGAAGGAGAACAGCCCCCAGUGCCCUUUCUUCUCCUAUUACCUACCACAGAAAUCCCCGAAAUUAGGUUUUCCCCACCAAAUACACAUACGCUGACAUCAACUAAGCAAGUGACUUUUAAAAACAAAACUGACAUUCAGAGGGAAAGGAAUCAUUGGCUGAGCUGGGGUGGCCUAAAACAGCAACAAUGAGGAAGCCGCAGGAGGGAUUAUUAGUACAAAUGAACUCGAAUAAGCUCGGCGUAGGGUGGGGGAGGGGAGUUGGGGCCUUGACUUAGUCACUAAAAAGGGGCUUGGGGAGAGAUGGAAUCUGCGCCCUGUUCUAUCCCCAGAGCUCUCCCUGGAAUCUUAAUUCCCCUUUCCUAAAACUCACUCCCCCUCAAAAAAUGUAAAAAUUGGUUAUUUUUUAGUGGGUAGAAGGGAGCUCCGAUGUGGCUUUUUAAAAUCUACUUUUUUUUUUUUUUUUAAUCCAUAGAAAAUGCAGUAGUUUGGAGGGAGGUGUACCCUUAGAAGUGGUUAAUAGAACCUUGUAUAAACACCUUUCACCAGCCCUUCCUUUAGGGCAGCAUUCCCAUCCUAUCCUCUCUCCCAGACAUUAUAAACAUCUUUUAAACAGAA
rnacentral:sRNA from 1 species